UGCAGGAACAAUGGCGAGCCUCUAGCCCGA
rnacentral:piRNA from 1 species